UCUAAGCGAUUGAACAUUUAUAUUUUUUUUGCAAACAAUAUCAAGAUCAGAGGUUUUGUUAUCAUCAUCUACAUUCUCUGAUUUAUGUAGUGUCUAUGAACGUUAAUCAUGUCUUGGACAUUUAUCAAACUUACUGAUUUUUGUUUAUUUUGAUUUUCAUGUGAAUCCCUAAAUCUUGGAUAACAAUCGGACUCCGAUCAUUCAACAAGCAACAGAGUUCGUCGACCAAAACAGUUAUGGAUCCUAAAAACAAUGCUCCAAUCGUUUUUAAAGUUGAUUGAUGACUAUCAUCCUAUAUUUUUGGAAAUACCGUAUGAUGAGCCAGCUUAUUGUGGGAAGGAAAAGUUCCAUAUGCUCAAUGUAUUGAACUUAUUGAUGAUGACUUAUGCAACUGCAGGAGUCUGAAUCUUCUUCGAACACAAGAGGAAAUACCGUAUAAUGAGCGACCUUAUUGUGGGAAAGAAAAGUUCCAUAUGGCCAAUGUCUUGAAAUUAUUGAUGAUGAAUUAUGCAACUGCAGGAGUCUGAAUCUUCUUCGAACACAAG